CCUACGGGGUGCAGCAGUGGGGAAUAUUGGACAAUGGGCGAAAGCCUGAUCCAGCCAUGCCGCGUGUGUGAAGAAGGCCUUCGGGUUGUAAAGCACUUUCAGUGGGGAAGAAAGCCUUGGGGCUAAUACCCUCGAGGAAGGACAUCACCCACAGAAGAAGCACCGGCUAACUCCGUGCCAGCAGCCGCGGUAAUACGGAGGGUGCGAGCGUUAAUCGGAAUUACUGGGCGUAAAGCGCGCGUAGGCGGUCUGAUAAGCCGGUUGUGAAAGCCCCGGGCUCAACCUGGGAACGGCAUCCGGAACUGUCAGGCUAGAGUGCAGGAGAGGAAGGUAGAAUUCCCGGUGUAGCGGUGAAAUGCGUAGAGAUCGGGAGGAAUACCAGUGGCGAAGGCGGACUUCUGGACUGACACUGACGCUGAGGUGCGAAAGCGUGGGUAGCAAACAGGAUUAGAUACCCUUGUAGUC
rnacentral:rRNA from 1 species